rnacentral:rRNA from 1 species
GAUGAACGCUGGCGGCGUGCUUAACACAUGCAAGUCGAACGGAGUUGAUUUAAGGAAGCAAGCUUGCUUGAAGAAUUGAAUUAACUUAGUGGCGGACGGGCGAGUAACACGUGAGCAACCUACCUCUUACAGGGGAAUAACAACGGGAAACCGUUGCUAAUACUGCAUGAUAUGUGCUGAAGGCAUCUUUGGCACAUCAAAAGAGCAAUCUGGUGGGAGAUGGGCUCGCGUCUGAUUAGCUAGUUGGUAAGGUAACGGCCUACCAAGGCGACGAUCAGUAGCCGGACUGAGAGGUCGAACGGCCGCAUUGGGACUGAGACACGGCCCAGACUCCUACGGGAGGCAGCAGUGGGGAAUAUUGGGCAAUGGGCGAAAGCCUGACCCAGCAACGCCGCGUGAAUGAUGAAGGCCUUCGGGUUGUAAAAUUCUUUGGACAGGGACGAAGAAAGUGACGUA